rnacentral:snRNA from 1 species
UCUGGUGGAAGCCCGCAGCGA